rnacentral:rRNA from 1 species
GACGAACGCUGGCGGCGUGCUUAACACAUGCAAGUCGAACGGAAAGGCCCUGCUUUUGUGGGGUGCUCGAGUGGCGAACGGGUGAGUAACACGUGAGUAACCUGCCCUUGACUUUGGGAUAACUUCAGGAAACUGGGGCUAAUACCGGAUAGGAGCUCCUGCUGCAUGGUGGGGGUUGGAAAGUUUCGGCGGUUGGGGAUGGACUCGCGGCUUAUCAGCUUGUUGGUGGGGUAGUGGCUUACCAAGGCUUUGACGGGUAGCCGGCCUGAGAGGGUGACCGGCCACAUUGGGACUGAGAUACGGCGCAGACGCCUACGGGAGGCAGCAGUGGGGAAUAUGGCACAAUGGGCGGAAGCCUGAUGCAGCAACGCCGCGUGCGGGAUGACGGCCUUCGGGUUGUAAACCGCGUUCGCCUGUGACGAAGCGUGAGUGACGGUAAUGGGUAAAGAAGCACCGGCUAACUACGUG